GGCUCGGAGGAACCCAGGGCGGAAGUGCCGUGCUGGGCUUGCCGGCGCUAUGGGCAGAGGCUGUCGGGCCGGGCCGGACCGGGCUCGGGCCGGCGAGGCGCGGUGCAGCAACGAGCAAACUGUGUACGAUCCCGGGAGCAUAGGCACGGUCUUGUGUAGCACUGUCAUUCUGCCCCACCGCUCUGAUAUCUAACAAAGUAAUACAUUCUGGAUGUUGUCUACAAAUUCUUUCCUUCCUUAUGUAAGAGGUCGAUGCGCGUGUCGCCUAGUUUGUCACAGAGCAUCACUGAAGUACUGUUUUAUUUGUAUUUGUGAAGACAGCAGAAUCAAAGACAGCAGGUCGGUGACUCCCACCGAGAUGGUCAUUAAGAUAAAACAGUGAAGUUUCUAGCAUAUAUUAAAAAGCCUGGAGGAAUUAGCAUAGCUUGCAGGAAAGCGUGCUGGAAAGAGAUGAUAUUUGAGAGCAAGCGUGAAAAUGUCGUCUUUUUACCAAGAAUGAUGAGAACUGAUGUGUCUGCCCUGCGUUUGGAUAGAAGAUGCCUUGGAUUUAAAGACGGUGUGUAUUAAAUGAAGUAUGAGAAGAAACAGCUUCUUCGGACACUUGCGCUCCUCUUCUUCAGCUCGUGGAGAAGGCUGACAGCCUGUCUCACUCUCGUCAGUGCUAUCCCACCAGCUCCUUUAGGAGCCCAGCACCGCGUUUGGCCUGUUGCGAUCUUCCCGCUCCCCUCAUUUCUGUGCUGCAACGCCACCAUCCACAAGAAGUCAGACAGGAGAAAAGCUCUUUCCAGAGAGAUGGAGAAGGAAUUAAUUAGACCUCUGCCUCAUCCUGCAAGACCAGAAGACAUGGAGUAACUGUAAGCUGCGAUUCUCAGGAGACAUACUAAGAGUCUCGGGUUCCUUUUCUGCCCGCCCCCCAAGGCCUUGGGCACGUUGGGUUCACCCUGGGAAGGGCACGUUGCUCAGGGCAGUUAUUUCCUCCCCUAGACGACGUGGGGUGCAUUUCUCUGCUGCACUUGUGGUUUUCCCCCUGUGGUUUUUCACUUGUGGUUUUCCACGUGGUUCGCACUGCUUCCAUUAUUGAGAAAACGGUUUGGGAAGCUGUGUCUGCCACUUCUCAGGAUUUUCUGCCGCCACCUGCUGGCAAAAAAAAUCAGUAACGCAGGUGGAGCCAUGUAGGACUUCUCAGAGGUAAGCCUUCAACGUACGGGGACCCCUAAACUCGUGAGCCGAGCACGCAAGACAAAUGUCCGUGGCACAAAGAUCAAGGACGACUUCUCAGAGAUCUCGAUUGGGUUGGCUUUUUUGGACCCAUCUGCAUGGCCUUUUGUUUUGUAGAUAGUCUACUAAGGUACGUUACUUCUCCGGUGAGUUAUUUUACUACAUUGAAUUGUAUUUUUGUGGUUUGUAAUCUGUUACACUCCUAGAUUAUUUCUACCUAUGUAAAGAAAAGUUUCAGCUAAUUACAGUCAGAACCAGUUUUAGUUACCUACUUGGUCAUAUUGUCGUUUCAAUAAUCAGGACUGAAGCAAAAGCACAGGAAUUGUUGCCUCUAGUAACACUCCACACACUGUUGAGCUAAGCCAAAUAAAAAAUGCAGCUGCUGCUCUCUUUAUCCCUUCCUGUGCUUUGCCUCUCCUCUUUCCCAGGUGAUUGGGCAGGGUGCCGGGUUGGGUCUAAUGGUAUAUGAGUUGCAGGCAUCCCAUCAGAGAGCUCAUUCUGCCUGGGCUGCACUUUGGGCAGUAGGUAAACCUUAGGAGGAAUCGGUCAAAGGAAACAGCAACUGUCAAGUUCUUGUUCGGCAACUCGGUGACUGGUUUGAUCUACUUCUCAGAUGUAGAGGCAAAUGGACUGCUCUUUUGAAAUGAUAAAAUAAAAAGCAUGAAUUUUGUCAAA